rnacentral:rRNA from 1 species
CCUACGUGAGGCAGCAGUGAGGAAUAUUGGUCAAUGGGCGGAAGCCUGAACCAGCCAAGUAGCGUGCAGGAUGACGGCCCUACGGGUUGUAAACUGCUUUUAUACGGGAAUAACGCGCCUUAUGUGUACGGCUUUGCAUGUACCGUAUGAAUAAGGACCGGCUAAUUCCGUGCCAGCCGCCGCGGUAAUACGGAAGGUCCGGGCGUUAUCCGGAUUUAUUGGGUUUCAAUGGAGCGUAGGAGGCAUGUUAAGCGUGCUGUGAAAUGUCCGGGCUCAACCCGGGCCUUGCAGCGCCAACUGGCAGGCUUGAGUCCGCGGAAGGCAGGCGGAAUUCGUGGUGUAGCGGUGAAAUGCUUAGAUAUGACGAAGAACCCCGAUUGCGAAGGCAGCUUGCUGGAGCGGAACUGACACUGAUGCUCGAAAGCGCGGGUAUCGAACAGGAUUAGAUACCCUGGUAGUC